ACGAGACGUUUAUGAUUUAUGAUUUCUAGAACGUUAUUUUUGUAUUUGACGGUCAAGGACUAAUGAUUUUGAAUUAGAAUAUGACAAAUGAAAUUGUCUGAAACACAAAAAUACAUUACUUAAUAUUCACUUUAGUUCGAAUGAUGAUUUCAGUUUGAGAAUGUAAUCAUUAUUAUGAAUCCGGAUUAAUAAAUGGAAUAAUAAUAAUAUGAUAUAUCUUUACUCUGAACGCGUACGUCAUUCAAUUUCAGGAUUGUAAUUAUUAAUUAUUAGUUAAUUAAUGGCAGACGAGCUAAAUAAAAUGUUC